CCUACGGGAGGCAGCAGUAGGGAAUAUUGCUCAAUGGGGGAAACCCUGAAGCAGCAACGCCGCGUGGAGGAUGAAGGUUUUCGGAUUGUAAACUCCUUUUGUUAGAGAAGAUAAUGACGGUAUCUAACGAAUAAGCACCGGCUAACUCCGUGCCAGCAGCCGCGGUAAUACGGAGGGUGCAAGCGUUACUCGGAAUCACUGGGCGUAAAGAGCGCGUAGGCGGGAUAGCAAGUCAGAUGUGAAAUCCUAUGGCUUAACCAUAGAACUGCAUUUGAAACUGUUAUUCUAGAGUAUGGGAGAGGUAGGUGGAAUGCUUGGUGUAGGGGUGAAAUGCGUAGAGAUCAAGAGGAAGACUCAUUGCGAAGGCGACCUGCUAGAACAUAACUGACGUUGAGGCGCGAAAGCGUGGGGAGCAAACAGGAUUAGAUACCCUAGUAGUC
rnacentral:rRNA from 1 species